AUUGAACGCUGGCGGCAGGCCUAACACAUGCAAGUCGAACGAGUGGCGGACGGGUGAGUAAUGUCUGGGAAACUGCCUGAUGGAGGGGGAUAACUACUGGAAACGGUAGCUAAUACCGCAUACCAUCAGAUGUGCCCAGAUGGGAUUAGCUAGUUGGUGGGGUAACGGCUCACCAAGGCGCCGAUCCCUAGCUGGUCUGAGAGGAUGACCGGCCAGACUGGAACUGAGGCACGGCCCAGACUCCUACGGGAGGAAGCAGUGGGGAAUACUGCAGAAUGGGCGCAAGGCUGAUGCAGCCAUGCGGCGUGUAGGAAGAAGGCCUUAGGGUUGUAAAGUACAGUCAGCGGGGGGGCGUUACCCGAAGAAGAAGCACCGGCUAACUCCGUGCCAGCAGCCGCGGUAAUAC
rnacentral:rRNA from 1 species